CAGAAAAUAAUAUAUAGUAUUAGUAUGCAAGUUUUGGAGAUUUGUUGAGAUAUUAAUCUUUUCUGA